rnacentral:rRNA from 1 species
GAUGAACGCUAGCUACAGGCUUAACACAUGCAAGUCGAGGGGCAGCAUGAACUUAGCUUGCUAAGUUUGAUGGCGACCGGCGCACGGGUGAGUAACGCGUAUCCAACCUGCCCUUGUCCAUCGGAUAACCCGUCGAAAGGCGGACUAACACGGUAUGCAGUCCACAGCAGGCAUCUAACGUGGACGAAAUGUGAAGGAGAAGGAUGGGGAUGCGUCUGAUCAGCUUGUUGGCGGGGUAACGGCCCACCAAGGCGACGAUCAGUAGGGGUUCUGAGAGGAAGGUCCCCCACAUUGGAACUGAGACACGGUCCAAACUCCUACGGGAGGCAGCAGUGAGGAAUAUUGGUCAAUGGACGGAAGUCUGAACCAGCCAAGUAGCGUGCAGGAUGACGGCCCUAUGGGUUGUAAACUGCUUUUAUAUGGGGAUAAAGUGAGUCACGUGUGGCUUAUUGCAGGUACCAUAUGAAUAAGGACCGGCUAAUUCCGUGCCAGCCGCCGCGGUAA